rnacentral:lncRNA from 1 species
UUACUUCUCCUUCCAGCUGCCCCGUGAAGAAACACAUGUUUGCUUUUCCUUCAGCCAUGAUUAGUCCUGUGAUGUUAUGAGAAGAAUGAUUUGAAAACGAGCCUGAGGUUUCAGCCCUGGAGGCCUGAACAGACAAGCUAGCUGUGGCUAGUCACUCCCCCACCAGCCUUGGCCAUGCACUCAUGCCAUUCAGCAGAUGUGAUGAAGCCAGCUGUCAUGUUAGGAGCUACCUCUGUGGAGAAGCCCACAUGUCAAGAGACUGGAUGACCUCUUGCCCACAGCCAGUGAGGAAUGGAGGCCCUGAGGCCAAUGGGCUACAAAGAACGAAAUCCUGUCAACAUUCAUAUGCAUGACCUUGGAAUCAGAUCCCACCCCCAUCAAGGCCUGACAUGAUUGCAAUCCCAGCUGACAUUUUGAUUGUAGUCAUGUAAGAGUCCCAGAGGACCCAGUUAAGCUAGGCACAGUCUCUUAACGCAGGGAAAUUGUGAAGUAAUUAGUACUGUUGUUUUAGGAUAAUGUGUUACGUAACAAGAGACAGGUGAUAUGACAUCUAUGAGAUUC